AUGACAAUGAGGCCGCUCGUCCUUCUUGCCCUGGCCGCCGUGCUCGCAGCCGGUAUCGGCAGCGCUGAGGGAGCUGGCGAGUGCGCGAGGGCCAUCGCCAGGGUCCCGCAACUGGCUCGGUGCGCCCCGGCGGGGCGCAACCCGCAGUCCGCGCCGACGGCCAUCUGCUGCGUGGCGGUGCGCAAGGUCAGCAUGGCGAGCCCCGAUUGCGUGUGCGCCGUCUUCCUGAACGACGCCUUCAAACUGUUGGGAGUGAAGCCUGAGGUCGCACUCACGAUCCCCAAGCGCUGUGGCAUAGCCGACUGCGGAGGUA
rnacentral:rRNA from 1 species